AAGGAUGGAACGCACCAGCUGAAAAUAGUCUCGACAACAUCCAAAAAUUUCCCAGUGGUAGAUUCUCCGGUAUCUUCCUCAAUCACUCCCCACCCUCCGCAGCCUCCUGCGGCGGCGAUUUACCUCUUCCCACCCCCUCUCCGUCUCUUUCCGUAUCUGCUCAAUACUUCAUCAUGCCGGCGAUGCAGACUCUUUUCCUUCAAUGCUCUUCAUCCAUCUCACCUCUCUCGACUUCUCUGUCUUCUUCAUUUUCCACUUCAGCUACUGCUAAUGCCUGCAAAUCUUCAAUUAAAUUUACCGUCAUGUGCUGCUCCCAGGCGUCGCCGGUUACCGUGGUAAACGGAAACGUCGAAAGGCGAUCUGCUGAACGGAGUGAGGUUCGCCUUGGCUUGCCUAGCAAAGGUCGAAUGGCCACCGAUACUCUCGAUCUUCUCAAGGACUGCCAACUGUCAGUGAGGCAAGUGAAUCCAAGGCAGUACGUUGCCGAGAUUCCUCAGCUCCAAAAUUUAGAAGUUUGGUUUCAACGGCCAAAAGAUGUUGUGCGGAAGUUGGUUUCUGGGGAUCUAGACCUUGGUAUUGUUGGUCUGGACACAGUUUAUGAAUAUGGACAGGGGAAUGAAGAUCUCAUUAUUGUUCAUGAUGCUCUUGAGUAUGGUGAUUGUCGAUUAUCUCUGGCUAUUCCAAAGUAUGGAAUUUUUGAGAAUAUAAACUCAUUGAAGGAGCUAGCAGAAAUGCCACAUUGGACACCUGAGAGACCCUUGAGAGUAGCUACAGGAUUCACAUAUAUGGGACCUAAGUUUAUGAAUGACAAUGGAUUGAAGCAUGUUACCUUUUCAACUGCGGAUGGAGCACUGGAGGCAGCUCCAGCAAUGGGGAUAGCUGAUGCAAUUGUGGACCUUGUGAGUAGUGGAACAACAUUGAGAGAGAACAAUCUGAAAGAGAUUGCAGGUGGAGUCAUCUUACAAAGUCAGGCUGUCCUUGUUGCUAGCAGGAAAUCAUUGACUCAGCGUAAGGGUGCACUAGAUAUAACACAUGAAAUGCUUGAAAGGCUGGAGGCACAUUUACGGGCUACUGGUCAAUUCACGGUAGUAGCCAACAUGAGGGGAAGCUCUGCAGAGGAAGUGGCUGAGCGUGUAUUGAGCCAACCUUCAUUAUCAGGGUUGCAGGGACCUACAGUAAGUCCGGUGUUUUGCAAACGGGAUGGUCGAGUAACGGCAGAUUACUAUGCAAUUGUCAUAUGCGUACAGAAAAAUGCAUUGUACAAGUCUGUGCAGCAGCUGAGGGCGAUUGGAGGCAGUGGUGUUCUGAUUUCCCCAUUGACCUACAUUUUUGACGAAGAAACCCCUAGAUGGCGUCAGCUUCUCUCCACUUUGGGCCUUUAAGUGUUUCAUUAUGUGCUCUGAAAGGUUUUCUGCAUUAUCAAGUGCAUUAUAAGAGCCGCCCGAAUACCCCAAUAUUCAUGUCUCGAAUGGAUGCACCUACAUAGGAACAACUUUAGGAGCUGGAUUCUUUUGGUACCCGUUUGCUGUAUUUUUAUCGGUUUGCUUAUCUAUUUGCAACAAGUUUUCAGGCCAACUUUGGGCUUUAAGUUGAUAGCCACUUCUUUAAGUUAUAAGUUAUUUCUUCAAGACUUCCAGUAGCUUAUAGUUUCACUUGAAAGAACUGUUAGAUUCAUUGUUGCUUGUGUUGCAUACUUGCACCUCAGUAGUCACUCCACUUCUAUCUACCA